rnacentral:tRNA from 1 species
UUAUAAGAAGUAAAAUUUACUUUUAAUUUCGACUUAAAAAAUUGAUUUAUAAUAAAUCCUUAUAAA